GUGGGGAAUCUUAGACAAUGGGGGAAACCCUGAUCUAGCCAUGCCGCGUGAGCGAUGAAGGCCUUAGGGUUGUAAAGCUCUUUCAGAUGGGAAGAUAAUGACGGUACCAUCAGAAGAAGCCCCGGCUAACUCCGUGCCAGCAGCCGCGGUAAUACGGAGGGGGCUAGCGUUGUUCGGAAUUACUGGGCGUAAAGCGCACGUAGGCGGACCAGAAAGUCAGAGGUGAAAUCCCAGGGCUCAACCUUGGAACUGCCUUUGAAACUCCUGGUCUUGAGGUCGAGAGAGGUGAGUGGAAUUCCGAGUGUAGAGGUGAAAUUCGUAGAUAUUCGGAGGAACACCAGUGGCGAAGGCGGCUCACUGGCUCGAUACUGACGCUGAGGUGCGAAAGCGUGGGGAGCAAACAGGAUUAGAAACCCUUGUAGUCC
rnacentral:rRNA from 1 species